rnacentral:rRNA from 1 species
AUUGAACGCUGGCGGCAUGCCUUACACAUGCAAGUCGAACGGUAACGCGGGGCAACCUGGCGACGAGUGGCGAAUGGGUGAGUAAUAUAUCGGAACGUGCCCAGUAGUGGGGGAUAGCCCGGCGAAAGCCGGAUUAAUACCGCAUACGACCUACGGGUGAAAGCGGGGGAUCGCAAGACCUCGCGCUAUUGGAGCGGCCG